GGCGGCGUAGCUCAGUGGUCAGAGCAGCGGCUUCAUAAGCCGUGGGUCGGUGGUUCGAAUCCACCCGCCGCUA
rnacentral:tRNA from 1 species